GAAAGUGGGGGAUUCGCAAGGACCUCACGUUAGGGGAGCGGCCGAUGUCCGAUUAGCUAGUUGGUGGGGUAACGGCCCACCAAGGCGACGAUCGGUAGCUGGUCUGAGAGGAUGAUCAGCCACACUGGGACUGAGACACGGCCCAGACUCCUACGGGAGGCAGCAGUGGGGAAUUUUGGACAAUGGGGGCAACCCUGAUCCAGCCAUGCCGCGUGCGGGAAGAAGGCCUUCGGGUUGUAAACCGCUUUUAGUCGGGAAGAAAAGGCGCGAGUUAAUACCUCGUGUUGUUGACGGUACCGGCGGAAUAAGCACCGGCUAACUACGUGCCAGCAGCCGCGGUAAUACGUAGGGUGCGAGCGUUAAUCGGAAUUACUGGGCGUAAAGCGUGCGCAGGCGGUUCGUUGUGUCGGUGGUGAAAGCCCCGGGCUUAACCUGGGAAUGGCCAUGGAAACUGGCGAACUGGAGUGUGGCAGAGGGGGGUGGAAUUCCGCGUG
rnacentral:rRNA from 1 species